rnacentral:tRNA from 1 species
GGGCAUAUGGCGGAAUUGGUAGACGCGCCAGUUUCAGGUACUGGUGGGGCAACCCAUGGAAGUUCGAGUCUUCUUAUGCCCACCA